GGGGAUGUAGCUCAGUUGGCUAGAGCAUCUGCUUUGCAAGCAGGAUGUCGCAGGUUCGAGUCCUGUCAUCUCCACCA
rnacentral:tRNA from 1 species